GUACCGUGAGGGAAAGGUGAAAAGCACCCCGACGAGGGGAGUGAAACAGUUUCUGAAACCGGACGCCUACAAGCAGUGGGAGGCCCCUUGAGGGCUGACCGCGUACCUUUUGUAUAAUGGGUCAUCGACUUAGUCUGACUAGCAAGCUUAAGCCGUUAGGUGUAGGCGCAGCGAAAGCGAGUCUUAAUAGGGCGACUGAGUUCGUGGGAUGAGACCCGAAGCCGAGUGAUCUAGCCAUGGGCAGGUUGAAGGUGCGGUAACACGCACUGGAGGACCGAACCCACG
rnacentral:rRNA from 1 species